rnacentral:lncRNA from 10 species
GGGCACUGCUGAUUUCCCUGGGACACAGAUGAAUGAGUUUGGACUCAUCUGUCUCUGAUAACCAGGAAUAGCCACCUCCUGACAGCACCAACACCUGCUUGCUUCUCAGGGGCUCCUGACCCAUUGUUUCCAGAAACAAAGAUCUCCCCUGGGUGCAUCCCCCUGUACAGGAUGGGGAAACCGAGGCCCAAAGCAGAGGGACCAGCUCGAGGUCACACAGCAGGUCAGCAGCUGAGGCAGAGCCUGAAUGGUCUCUGGACUCCUCGCCCAUGGUGUCACUACGGCACCACUGCAUCUGCCCAGCCUCAAGGAGCCUGUGACACUAUUUCCCAGUGAAGCCAUAAGGUCAAGUUCACCCGUUUCUCACCCAUUCUCCCCUUGAGGGUGGAGACAUCUCAGCAUUUCAGUAUGGCUCCUCAGUGUCCUUUAUUCUC